rnacentral:rRNA from 1 species
CCUACGGGAGGCUGCAGUGAGGAAUAUUGGUCAAUGGACGAGAGUCUGAACCAGCCAAGUAGCGUGAAGGAUGACUGCCCUAUGGUUUGUAAACUUCUUUUAUAUGGGAAUAAAACGUUCCACGUGUGGGAUUUUGUAUGUACCAUAUGAAUAAGGAUCGGCUAACUCCGUGCCAGCAGCCGCGGUAAUACGGAGGAUCCGAGCGUUAUCCGGAUUUAUUGGGUUUAAAGGGAGCGUAGGUGGAUUGUUAAGUCAGUUGUGAAAGUUUGCGGCUCAACCGUAAAAUUGCAGUUGAAACUGGCAGUCUUGAGUACAGUAGAGGUGGGCGGAAUUCGUGGUGUAGCGGUGAAAUGCUUAGAUAUCACGAAGAACUCCGAUUGCGAAGGCAGUUCACUGGACUGCAACUGACACUGAGGCUCGAAAGUGUGGGUAUCAAACAGGAUUAGAUACCCCUGUAGUC